UAGGGAAUAUUGCGCAAUGGGCGAAAGCCUGACGCAGCAACGCCGCGUGGGGGAUGAAGGCCUUCGGGUCGUAAACCCCUUUCAGCAGGGACGAAGUGCAAAUGACGGUACCUGCAGAAGAAGCACCGGCUAACUACGUGCCAGCAGCCGCGGUAAUACGUAGGGUGCGAGCGUUGUCCGGAAUUAUUGGGCGUAAAGAGUUCGUAGGUGGUCCGUUGCGUCGGAAGUGAAAUCCCGGAGCUCAACUCCGGGACUGCUUUCGAUACGGGCGGACUAGAGGUAGGUAGGGGAGAGCGGAAUUCCUGGUGUAGCGGUGGAAUGCGCAGAUAUCAGGAGGAACACCGGUGGCGAAGGCGGCUCUCUGGACCUAUUCUGACACUGAGGAACGAAAGCGUGGGUAGCAAACAG
rnacentral:rRNA from 1 species